AGUAGUGAUAGAAGUACCGACAAAUAAUGACAUUGUUGCACCUGGGGCCGAAGUUGUGAAUGGUCCUGAUGACACUGCGUCGUCACAGCUGGAGUUCUACAGAAACCCCAAGUACCACACUGACGUCCUUGCCACCUUUAUUGCCACAGCGAUGUCUAUUGCUAAAUAUGUUCCACUACUGACGGAGCUUACAGACCAGGCCAACAAACAAUCGGAGGAUUUUGCCAAAUUCCUCCAGAUCCUGGUGUCCACUUUCCCGCAGUAUGUUAAGUUUGCAGGAGCAAGCAGCAUCGCCAUCGAGAACAAGUCAAGUUAUAAUCAGUUACUGUCAACGGUGCAUGACUUCAUACAGGAGACUGCUAUUGACCCGUCUAAAGCUGGUGCGGGCGUGAUCCAAAUGAUCAAGAAUGCAACCCAUGCCAUGGAUUCUACAGUAGAAGGCAGCUACAGGCGUUCACUCUAUACUUCAUAUUCUUUCCAGGGCCGUGCUCGCAAUCCCCAAACGACAAUGUACUGGAGUAGUGUCAACUUGGAGAGGAACCGCAGCGGCAAGACUACGUGUGUGUCUGCUGAGCUGAAGAUCGUCCGCUUUACCGUUGAGGUCAUCAGUAAUUCCGUGAUUGCUGAUGCUCAUAUCCUGGCAGAGGCAAAGGGCCGGGCAGCCCAGGAGAUUGCGGAUAUCAUAAAUGGACAUAUAAAUCCGUCCAAGGACAAUCAUUAGAGAGCUCUGUUGGGGCCGUAAGCCAAAUGAUAAUGAAUGGAAAUUUGCUCUAAGUAUAUAGGUAUAUGGGAAGUAUGUAAAAGGAAAAUUGGUAAUAAAAAAGUCCAUAAAUAUUAUUAGAUGCAGUGAUUAAAAAAUUAAUUAAGAGAUCCAUAAAUAUUUAAGUUACAAAGGUGUGAGUGGGUGACCACUCCAAGGUGGAUUAUAGUUUCAACACAAGCUUUAUCAUAGUGGAUACUCUACAAGGUUGUUGCACAGUUUGUUGAAGCAGGACAAUAUUGCUUCCCUCUGCUCUUCUUGGCAUAAAAACUUUUUGGACCAAUAUUCAGUUUAUUUAGCAUUUUACCAGGAAACUUUACAUGUAAUUUUCUCUCCCUUAUUAAAUUUGCCAUCGUGAAAUAAUAGGUAAAGCAUUAAAUUAGUGGCUACCAGAUUAUUUGGGUAUGAUAUGUUGUUUCUCAAACUCAUCCAUAGUAAACACAUGUGGUUUUUUAUUUGCAACGCAAGACUCUUCAAGUUAAUUCCACCACUGAAGACUCGUAUCUCGCAAAACCAUUGGAAUAACCACUAAAGCCUUUGCAUCUAGAGCUCUUUAGGCAGCCAAAAACUUCUUCACAUCAGCUAGUCAAGCUAAACAUUUAUCCACACCACCAUCACUGAAAAAAUUACAAUCAUAAGUCAAUCCACUAAGGAAGGCUUCCUUAAAGCACCACCACCACUAGCCUUGAGUACCUCAACACACUCUACCAUUGUAACCAUCAUGCCAUGCAUCUCCUUUCGCAACUCAUGCACAACAUCAUGGAUAGUCCAAACCCCCAUAGCUUUGUCAGCUCCACCACUGACACCACUUUUGUCAUUAGAACUCCAACAUUCCUCUUGGUUGGCCAUUGCAACCAACUCCUCUAAUACCAUUGCACUAAAUAGCAAAAAUAAAGAGGCCUAGCCCUAGUCAAAGAUACACUUCCUCUUUAGAUUAUUCACCACCCAACCACCUUCAAGCUAUCUCAAAAGCUUGACCGCACUGCCACCGCCAUUGUGAGCUUUUAGGGUAAGAUAAAUCCCCUAUAGCCUUGAGCUUACCUUUGACUCACGUUGACCAUGUGGUCAAAAUUGGUACAUAACAACCUUCCUUUCAGAUUCCGAGGUGGAGAGUGAGGUGCAUAUGCCAUGACCCUUAGGCAAUAGUGUUUCUUCCCAAGGUCCCAAAGUGUGCAACACACCUAAAGACUUGGGACGUUAAAGUGGUCUAUGAACAAGUUUUGUGGAACCUUGGGAAGUUAGGAUCCUAGAGGCUUGGAAUGCUUGGUUUGCUUGUGCAUGAGAGGCUUCAAUACCAAAUUGUAAACCAUAAAUUUUUUCAAGCAAAUUAUUGACUCAUUUCUAUCCUUAAUUCUAGCAAAGAAUAAAAGCAGAUCACUUAGUGAUAGCUAUGCCAGAGCAAAACCCUUCCCAGGAACUUAGGACUUAAAGUUCAACUACAUUUCCCAUCAAUCCACCACCUUCACUUUAGCUAUAGAUAAGAUCCCUUUGCCAAGGUCCACUUCUAGGUACCACUGUCUACUGGAUCCUUACUCGCUUAGCUAGUUAUUACAUACAUACAAGAGUGUUAGCCAUUUCUCAGUAAUUUCCUCAAUUGCUCUCCCAAACCCAUACUAUAGUGGAGGACAAGCCUCUUAUGGAACAAGAACCGAUGGAGGAACCUAUGGAUGAGGUUUUGGUGCUGGAGGAGGAUCCUAGUGAGGAGACCUCUAGGCAAGAAUUGAGUGGUGAGGCUCCUUCCUCCAUUGGUAUCAAAGGGAGGUUGGUUGUGAUGGCUGACCAAUAGAAAUGCUAGAAUCCUAAUGACGAAGGUGGUCACAAUAGUGGAACUAAUGAAGCUACAGAGGUUUGGAUUACCCAUGAUGUUUUGUAUAAGCUGCAAGCCCUCAACAAAAAUUAGCAAGAGAUGCAAGAGAAGAUGCAUGGCAUAAUGACUAUGAUGGGAGAGUGUGUUGAGAUACUCAAGGUUGGUGGUGGUGGUGCUUCAAGGAAGUCUUCUUUGGUGGAUGUAGCACAUGUGGUUUUCACCCUUUAUCCUAUACUAUAGGAUAAUUAUGAAGUGGACCCUAAACCCUUUAUAUGCUACAUAUCAUAUACCACAUGUCUAAGGAUAGUGGAGUAGAAUUUGAGUUUCAAGUGGGCCACUAAAUGAAAGAAUGGAGCCAAACUUCCAAAGUUACAACCAAGGAACGAAAAAACUGAAACACGGUGCAACUCUUGAGUGUUCAACCUAAAAAGUAAAGGGACAAGAGUACGGAGCAAUAUAAGAACAGUCCUAAAGCAUCUAAUAUUCCAAUGCUAGGACCAACAUACAAAACGAAGCUAAACAGAGUCUAGCGCUAUUUUAGCAUACUGAUGGCCUAACACGAGGAUAUGGGUACCAUGGUAUGAAACUUGGGCUUAGACCCAAGCCAAAUGCAGAACAAAGACAUGCAUGCAAAUAGGAGUUAAAAUAUACUUCACGUUGGUCAGCCACACUUAAUCUACCCACUAUCCUUAUUAUACAUUUGGAACCCCCCCGUUGAGGAAUGCACACUUUGGGCUUUCACCCCUAGUCUCUUUUAAUACCAAGAGUUAGUCUUUGGAAUAAGUUUGAAAUAUACUAAAUAUGGAAUGGUGCUAAAUUACAAAUUUGGAUAUAGAACUAACACCAUUGUGUUUAGGACAAUCUUUACAUUUUAUAAAUAUGCCAAAUUAACAAAUCUAGACACUUUCCAUAAAUAGCAAAUGGGACCGAAAUGAAACUAACAUAAGAGGCAUAAUAACGAGGGUGUUUAGUAAACAUAGUAAAUUAUUAUUUAACAAAUAUUGAGGGACCAAACUCAAUAUAGGGUGUUAUUUUUUUAUUAAACAAGUAUAUAACUCGAUGAUGUGAGUUUAAUAUUUAGGUCUUGUGAAGGCAAGUUAAAGUUGCUCUACGACUAAUAAUUUUGUGUAAACUUCAUUAAGGACUAUUAACACUUCCUUUACUCGAUGAUAAUUUAGUAAUGAUGGGCUUAUUUUACCAAAUAGUGUUGCAAAGGAUUGUGUUAUGGGUUUAUAUGGUUUUUCCAUGUUAGCGUAUCAACUCUAUCUCUGUCAAUAUCAUUUGGUUGCAUUUAUUUUGUGAUGUUGGAUUACAUUAAGUUUUAAAUGUGGUGAAUCCUUCCUUGAUAUCUGUUAUUUGUAGGUAAGUAUUGUUGAAAAAUUAGUCUCAAAUACUGAGUAAGGUAUCUUUGACUUUGGUUAGCUUGGUUGCUAAAGGAUUUAAAGUAGUGAUUCAUUCUUGCUUUCUUUUAGUUUUAUUCUGAUAUUGAUAGCAUUGAAGUGAUGCUUUAUCAUUGACAUUGUUGAUGUUGAGAUUCACAAGAUUGAUAUUGAGUUUCGCUAGUUUUAAUGUAAAUAGUAUUAAUGAUUUAGUUAUAGCUUUGUGUUAUUGGCAUUCAUAUAUUUGCGAGCUAGUAACUAUAUUAUCAUUCAAACAAACUGAGUAGCAAGUUGAGUUAAUUGUAUUCUAGAUAACAUUGUUUAGUAGGGGUUGAGAUUUGGCUUUUCCUUGAAAAGUGAUUUAUGGACUAUACUAGUUUUACGAGAGGAAAAGUUAGUGAUCGAUAUUAAAGUUGGUUUUUUGUUAGAUUUGAGUUGAGAAUAAAUCGAUCAUCGAUAAUUCUUUUUGUGUUUGUUAUAAAGUGAGCUACAUUUUAUAGAAUAUAGAUUCAUGGAAGAUUGGUUUGGUAAUGACUUAUUUAGCAUAACUUUAUUAUGCUUAUAUUUUAGAUUGAUGCAAACAUGCUUUUCAUUAGCUUUGGCAUCAUAAAUUUAGCUUUUUGACGUGUUGAGGAAGAUAUUGUGGGUUGUACCGUGAUUUUUUCUUUAACAUUGACAUUAGUUCAUGCAAGAUUUGUGACCAUGAUUAAGUGAGACUUGGCUAUAGAUUUCUUCGAACUUUUAAUUCUUUAAGUUUUAUGUUCAUUAUUCCAUUUGUUAAAAGUUUUUGGGGAAGGCAUUUUGGCUUAUUAUCUUCAAUAUUAAAGCUAGUAUUUUGCAUCUAGCAAUCAUUAGUGAUGAUUGACUAUCAUUCAAGCUAAUUAAUUAUCCUUGACAAAGUUUUGCUUAAUUGUUGUUAAUAUAGAAUGAUUUGUCCUUUUUCGGGAUAGUGGAUUGACCGGGACUUGUGACCAUGAUGUUGUUACUUGUUUGUGAUCUGCUAGAGGUUUACAUCCAAAUAAGGAAAUGAUCGUAUUAUUGUUCUUUCAAGUUUUUCAGACAGCUGAUACAUUUUCUUUCCUUGACUUCCUCAUCUAUACUGACGUUGAUAUUGUUGUUGUUAUUACUUUUGUUCUUGCCUAUUUGAUUAUACAUCUUUGGAGAGUUCCUCAAAGACCUGAACAUGGUCAGCAUCAAUCUCCCGAAAAUCCUCAAAGACAGCCUAAUCUCCAAUGGUAGGAUACAGAUCAAAUCCUGAAUUCUGUUGACAGCAUUAGCAUCCAAAGACAACAUUAGCAUCAACUACCCCUUCUGCCUGAGGUAGACACAACACAUUCUGAAAAGUGGCAAACACAAAAAGUAGAAACACCAAAGCAGCCUGGCUUAAAUGCAUUAGUGUUUAAAUGCAGUAAUUCAUACAUUAAUAUAUCAAGAGAGUGAUUACGAUUGAUGAUCUUGCUGUGGUCUAUGUAUGGCCCCGCUACAGAUUUGCAAGACCCUAGCCAAAGAAAAAGCAAAGGAAUUACAUGGCUGCUAAAACCACUUCAUCUAUAGAUGCUGUUGAGCUUGGUGUGCUGGAACACCUCAAAUUCCUUCCAGGAGUCAAUUAAGUCACACAACGUUCGUAUCUUCCCCUGAAUUUCAUCGUCCAUCCUGUGAUACCAAUCACCCUAAACCAACACCAGAAACAUCAAGAUGUUGCCACCUUUGAAAUGUAUCCUCCUGCCCAGAGUUGGUCCCAAGAGCAUCGACGACAUGGAAAACACUCGUUUAGCUUUUGCAAGAUUGUCUUGAUUGCAAAGUGUAUUGGCAAGGAGACAAGGUUUCUUUGAGGGAUUGAGUCAAAAACAUAUUUCACCGCACUGGGCAUUUGCUCGGAGCAUUCCAGUCCACCCCAUAACAUCGUGCUGUGGCAGUCUCUCAUAUAUGCCUCUCGCAAGAUUAGUGCAGCCAUGCUGCGCAAAAGAGUUGACAGGUGUUGCCCAUGACACGGAAUCUCUCUGCGUCAUCCUCGCAAAGAACUUUUGUGCUUGCAUCCGCAGCGAUCAUAGAGUUCCGUAGAACUGGAUUGCUCAGUAUUUUUGUGUGUGAGAAUCAUGAUCUCGUUCCAUCCUGACAACAGCUUCUUUGCUUCGAGAAUCACAUUCCACGACACAGAGUCUCUCAGGCAUGUUUUCAAAUUGGUUUCUAGCCUCGCUAAUCAUUCCAGCUUUCGCAAAUAGCAUUCAUGCAAACUACGUGCCACUCUGGAAUUCGAUAAAAAACAAGCCUCGCUACGUGAAUUUGCCGGCUUUGGGCAUUUGCUGAAAGAAGCGCAUUCAUUCUUCCCGGGCAUGGACUCCAAGACGCGCUUGGCCUCGUGAAGCUGCUGGUUGUGAAUGUAGGCCUGGAGUGUCGAUUUCCCGCUGGGAUUCCUGCGGUCCAGUGUCGAUCGACAGAGGGAUUCCAUCCGUGGUCUCGAAUGCGUCCAGAGCACGAGGGAUUCUUCGCCAGGUGACGCCCAAGAUCCAAGCGUUCCAGGCAACUACAUUCUCGCCUCAACCAGGCAGCCAGACAUGCCCAUCAAGCUGCAAGGAACGUAGAGAUCACUGUGCUGCUUGGCUCUCUGCGAGGCUUGCGCUCCUUGAUUCCCUCCACUCGGGCACAAUGGAGCUUGUUCCUGGAAGCCAUUCUAGUCUUGCUCGCUUGCCUGAGCCCAGCAGCGCCUUCCAUGGUUAGCACGCUUAUGGAACAAUAUCCUUGUGGAGCGGAUCAACGCUGCCUUUGUGCCCGUGCUCGCAGUGCACAAAGGGCUCGAGUUUUAGUUCCAUCUCGAUAAACAAUAAGUUUGUUUUCCAGGUGAUUAGAUUCUGGAGAUAAACAAUAGGCAGCGCAAAACUUUUGAGAAGAGAAAGCUGUUCUCUCUCCCAAGUCUUAGAAUUUUCUCUCCCGGAUCGACGACGCUGUCGAGAGAAUCUGGAGCACAGCAGCGAUUCUCGCAGUUUGAAACGAAAAAGUCGUGAAACUCGUCACGAUAUCUCAAUAGCUUCUUGUUCUUGCUCAAGUUCCUCGAAAAACUCUUCGAGCGCUCUCUCGUCUCCUGCCCGAGUAGCAAGGCCGAUGGCACGGGUCCAUAGCCACCAGGCAGCGUACGUGUUGGCCAGAAGCAUGCACGACUGCGUCUUCUUGUCUGGAGCGAAAUGGUUGAUGUAGUUUGUCACCCGCAGUGCUCGAGCGAUGUCGCUGUGCGUUUUGCAGGCACUCGGCUCGAACGGCAUGUUGCAAAUCAUAUCCUCGGCGAUUUCCAAACGCCCCGCUCUUCCCAGAACGUCGAGGAAGCAACCAUAGCACUCGUUUGCAAAGCUAACUCCAUAGUCCCCUAUUAUACAAAGAAAGCCAAACCAGUCAGUCAGCCCCACACCAUCGCCACCGCGUCCUGCUCGCUCAGAUCCAUUGACAAGCUUAGCUCCCUAGCACUGAGCUUGAGCUUGCAAACUUCCUGCUCCAGCUUGUGUAUCUCGUCCCUGUGAGCCCGCAAGUCCGCCUCGGACUUCCUCUGUAUCCUUUCCACUCUUUGCUUGGCCGCCGCUUCGGCUUUCUCCCUGGCUAGUUUCUCGGCCUCCAAACGCAAGAGUGCCUCGUCUUUGGCCUUCUUGUCUUGCCUGCUCCUACCCUGUGUAGUGUUCAUGGAAGUUAACACAUGAAUGCGAGGGAAGUAUAUGCGUACCUCGGCUUGGUGCUGGGACUCUUGUAUUUCUGAUGUAUAUGGUCAAUCCACCUGUCGCGCAAACAGGUUUGCAGCUCUUUUCUCUCUUUACACUGCCUUUGUGUCCUUUCACUGCUCUUUUGAUCCCUUUGACAGAGUGCCAACUCCGACAUCCAGGUGACGGCGUCCUUGAAUUGGACCCCCUGGAAGAGCGGCAGACGCCUUGGGAGCCUUCCACAAGAUGGAAGAUUGAGAUGUUUUCUCGUGGAACAUUGCGACGGCGGCAUUUGCCCGAUGCGAGAAGCGGUGGCACUCAUGCUUCUUCAUUCAACGCCUCAGAUCCACGCGGUAUUCGUCGCCGCUGGCCUAAGAUAAUGAGCUCGCAUUUGCCCCACUGGUCUCCCACGAGGUUCUGCCAGCCAGCUCCUGCAAGCUUUCGCCCAGGAUCUUGGGAAGCUGAAAGCUGAGGCACACAAGCAAGUACCGCAGAAUCUCCAUCGCCACAGUGCUGCUCAACGUCUACGGCAAGCUCACGCCACGAUCAGCAGCCGCACUUUCCAUACAUUUCCAUGACGAGAUUAGCGAGGCCGCUGGAGACGAUUUCCUCCCAGAGAUCUGUGCUCACCGACCGCAUCCUUGACAAGGCGUCCGCUCCUCAUUCCUGCAAAUCGGAAGGAUAACUUACACACAAGCAAUCGAGAUUUAUUCUUUCCUUUGCGUGAUCUUAUGCGUGAAAGACUUUCCCUUCGAAACUCCUGUGCAAUGGAGCAAGCACCAAAGGUGUGUUAGAGGGAAACCAAAAUCAACGUUUUCUGGUGAUCUUCUCAUUCCAGGUAUCUCGCAGAGCAGCUCUUCCAAGGGCCCGUCGUUGUAUGCGACUAUCAAAACGCGUUUCAUAGCGAUGAUGGCCAGAUGGCGGCAUGCUAGUGCGCGAGGCGGGAAAAGGCUCCCUCCCACAAGCUCGCCGACCUGGAAGAAAAACACGACUUUCAAGAGCUCUGGCUUUGAUUCUCCUGGGGAGCCAGAUGCAAAGGUAUGGGGAUUUGAGAGUUUCGUAAGACCUCCGGGCCACUGAAAUGGUGUGCUUGAUUCUUGCAGGCUCGUAUGUAGAAGAACUACAUACGAGUGGUACUGGAUUGGCGACGAUGGGAUCGUGAAGCACUCUGGAUUCGGGCUGGGAUUUGAGAGGAUGAGUAGAGAACAUCGGGGAUGUGAUAUUUCCUGGAAAGGCCAAUCAAUGGAUCACAACGUUGACAAGAGUAUAUGCUGAUAAGUCACCGUCACGAAAGCUGUCACAGGAAUAUUCUUUAGGAGAUUUUCCUCAUGGUAUUAAUCGAAAAAGUUUAUCGCCUCCACAAGGCUCUGAACACUCAUGGCCUUUACUUUGGCCAAGGCGUUGGCGUCAGCAGCCAAGGAAUUACUGUUGAGUUUAGCGGUGAAGCUGGUGAUGGUUAUGGUGGCUUCCCAGGUGGUGAUCUUCCCCGCCUUCUUUGUCAUGGUGGCGUCCGCCCAAUACAUAUUUAACUCCGGGUUUGUGGCUGGCGACCUGAAGGAGAAGAGCGUGUACAGCGCCCGAACACUAGUGUUGUCCUCGACGUGCGCAAACGUAGGGACGUGCAGCAGCGCCUUUUGCAAAGUCUUGGUAAUCUGGUUAGCGGUCUCAGUGUCGUGGGUGCGCUGCAGGUAGUCGCUGACGUCUUUCCAGAUCGUGUCGCAGCUGCCAGACAUGUCCUCGCUGGCCGCUGCCGUGAGGUAAACAUACUGCGGGAAUGUGGUGACAAGCACUGUCAGAAACUGCUGGAAAUGCUUGGCCUGUUGGCUGGCCUCGGCGGGAUCGGUGAUGAGCUUUGGAGAGUAGUGGGCGAGUUGCAUUCCAACAGCCGUAAAAGUUGCCAAGGCGUGGACAUGGAACCUUGGUAGCUUGUAAACCUCGGCAUUUGCUCCAGGAAGAGGCGGGGCGUUCACAGCAAUAGCUACAGGAAUGUAGACAUCUACAUCAGUGGCCACAUGAGCGUCAACAUGCAGGAAUCGUGCUCGAGAGACCGCCUUGGAGUUGGAGCUCACGUUCCUGAACACCUCUAAAGCGUGAUUGAACUCAUUGUUAUUCAUCAGCAAUGGCAGCGCCAUGAAUAUAAAAGCGGGAUAAAGAGCAGAGUGAUCUAGAGACAACGAGAAAGGAGCGGAUGUUCAGAUGGGUAGUCAUUCCAGCUUUAUAUACCACCAAGAGCUUGAGCAUGCAAAAAACGAUGUCAAUUGCAAUGAAUGAUCAAGGACAUGGGGCCAUCUUGAAGUUCCAAGGAAUGACAGUGAAAUAUCACUUUCUUAAUAGAAUGCUAUACUUUUUGAGAUUGCAAGAUCAUAGCUAGAACUAUACAUCAGCCUACGUACCCUUGCAAAAAAAACAUAUCAUAAAUCAUCAAGGACAUGGCCCCAAUAUGGAAUGACUGUGAAAUAUCACUUUUUUGACAGUUCUGCUAUAGCAAUGUUGAGAUUGCAAGAUCAUAGCUGGUCCAGCAUGACAUUUUUUUGUUUUGCAAGGGUACGUAUGUCGUCAAGAGCUGGAAUGACCCAUUGCAAUUGACAAGUAAGUAUAUACCCUUGCAAAAAAAAAAUGUCAUGAAUGAUAAGGGACAUGGUUUAUAUAUAGGGCUUUAAUUUCGACAACCUACUUGACAAAAGAGCCUUUAGUGGCUAUUUUAUCUCUAUUUAUCCCCCAAGGUUUUAAUGAUCCAUGAUGACAGUAUAUUUAAAUAUUAUCUUAUGAUCACAUGCGCUACAUUAAAGAUUGACAAUGUAAUAUACAGCAUGCUAUACUUGUUGAGAUUGCAAGGUCAUAGCUACCAACCUAUAUACCCUUGCAAAAAACAUUGUUAUAAAUUAUCAAGGACAUGUGGGCCCCAAUCUUGAAACGAACAAGCGAGCAAACCUUAUGCCAACCUCCCAACCCUUAAGGCGUUACAGCCUUAUAUCCCACAAGCCAUAGAAUAUUUUAAAAAUAAUCCUAUGGUUUCAUGUCAAAUCUUGCUUGGCAUAACCAAUACACCCUUAGCCCUCACAGAAAUCAUUAAUUAUGGCAUUAGACCAGACAAGGGCUAGAAAUGUACACCAUCCAGCAUGACAUUUUUUUUUUUGCAAAGGCUUUUUGCAAGGGUAUGCACGUCCUCAAGAACUGGAUGCAAUUGACAAGUAUGUACAUACCCUAGCAAAAUAAAAAUAAAAAUAAAAAAUUGUGAAUGGUCAAGGACAUGGGUGGUCCCCAAUUUUGACAACCUCAAGAGGUCAAAUUCAGCUUCAUUGUUGAGAUUGCAAGAUCAUAGCUACCAACCUACAUACCCUUGCAAAAAACAUUGUCAUAAAUUAUUAAGGACAUGGGCGUAGAGCUGCUACAAGUGGGCCCCAAUCUCACUUAUAGGAAAUGAUGGUGAAACAUCACUUUCUUAUCACUUUAGGGUGUCCUGACAAAUAUUAAUGGUUGCCUCUGGCAUAAUUAAUUAUUUCUAAAUCAUUAAUUAUGGCAUCUAGGUCCAGACAAGGGCUAGAACUGUACACCAACCUAUGUGGUCCAUCUUUUUAUUUUUUGCAAGGGUACGUACGUCGUCAAUAGCUGGAAUGACCGCUCUGCCCUUGACGAGUACAUGCAAAACAAAUGUGUCAUGAAUGAUCAAGGACAUGAGCUUAAAGAAUGACGGUGCAUGCUAUAAGCAUGCCUAGAGUAUACCAAUGCAAUUUUGUUUUCAGUCUCUGCAAAUGGACUCACUUUUAUUAUGCAGCACAGAUCUGGCUGUUGAUAAUGUCACAUGUUCAAAGUUGACAUACUACCAAAUUCUGAGCUCCAGCUAUAAAGAUCCCAGUGAUCCAUCACGGUUAACACCAAGGCCUGUUAUUUGAUCUCCUUUCACGUCCAGCAAUUGUGUGUUCAGUCUUUCUUUCCCCUCUCAAACCUUAUUCUCACAAGUGUGCUUCUGCAGGUAGAUCUUGAACAAUUCCCUCUUUGCAGGAGAGCAACUCUUCUAUUGACUUUCUUCUCUUUCUCAGUCAAGCUCGAGCAGGCCACAAGAGCAGAACAAUGGGAAGCCUACCACAGCUUCUCAGUGAGGACGAGGCUCGACACAACCUACAGGUUUUCACUAAGUCUGCCAUGAUUUCAAAAGCUCGCAGCUACAUCCGCUCAUCUCAACCCCUGUCAGUAGUGAUAGAAGUACCGACAAAUAAUGACAUUGUUGCACCUGGGGCCGAAGUUGUGAAUGGUCCUGAUGACACUGCGUCGUCACAGCUGGAGUUCUACAGAAACCCCAAGUACCACACUGACGUCCUU
rnacentral:lncRNA from 1 species